CAGUCGAACGGCAGCACGGACUUCGGUCUGGUGGCGAGUGGCGAACGGGUGAGUAAUAUAUCGGAACGUAUCCAAUAAUGGGGGAUAACUAAUCGAAAGGUUGGCUAAUACCGCAUACGCCCUACGGGGGAAAGCUAGGGACCUUCGGGCCUGGCGUUAAUGGAGCGGCUGAUAUCUGAUUAGCUAGUAGGUGAGGUAAAAGCUCACCUAGGCGACGAUCAGUAGCUGGUCUGAGAGGACGACCAGCCACACUGGAACUGAGACACGGUCCAGACUCCUACGGGAGGCAGCAGUGGGGAAUUUUGGACAAUGGGCGAAAGCCUGAUCCAGCCAUUCCGCGUGAGUGAAGAAGGCCUUCGGGUUGUAAAGCUCUUUCGCAAGGGAAGAAAACUUAGAUACUAAUAUUAUCUGAGGUUGACGGUACCUUGAUAAGAAGCACCGGCUAACUACGUGCCAGCAGCCGCGGUAAUACGUAGGGUGCGAGCGUUAAUCGGAAUUACUGGGCGUAAAGCGUGCGCAGGCGGUUUUGUAAGUCAGAUGUGAAAUCCCCGAGCUCAACUUGGGAACUGCGUUUGAAACUACAAGACUAGAAUAUGUCAGAGGGGGGUAGAAUUCCACGUGUAGCAGUGAAAUGCGUAGAGAUGUGGAGGAAUACCAAUGGCGAAGGCAGCCCCCUGGGAUAAUAUUGACGCUCAUGCACGAAAGCGUGGGGAGCAAACAGGAUUAGAUACCCUGGUAGUCCACGCCCUAAACGAUGUCUACUAGUUGUUGGUGGAGUAAAAUCCAUGAGUAACGCAGCUAACGCGUGAAGUAGACCGCCUGGGG
rnacentral:rRNA from 1 species